rnacentral:lncRNA from 1 species
CGCUGCCCCGCCGGCAGCCACAAAGGGUCGGGGUGCAGAGAGGGGCAGCGGCAGUGCCAUUUUGUGGGGCGUCUGCCUUGACAAAAUGGCUUUCCCCCCUGUCGUUUUGAGAGCUUUUCUUGCUUUUAGAGCCAGGUUUUGCAUCCCUUUGAACUACACAGGGUCUUCACCGCUGAAAUCUAACUUAAGUUGUGUGAGCAAAUCCCACUGCUGAGAGCUGCUAAUUAAGCAUAACUGACGUGGUGAAGGAAAAGGACACGAGGAGCCUUCAAGCCCAGGAGGAUUAUGGUAUGGUUCUUAACCUGGGAGGUUUGCUAAUGAAAAGUGGUGGUCCUAUAUUGACAUAGGUGUUUAGUGAUGUGGAAAUGUGAGACUGUAAAGGAUGCAUAUACUUCUGCUGUUCUUGGAUAAUGUUUUGGACAGUCUCUUCUGGAAUGUAGCUUCUAAAAAUCACUCUUUUUUCCUCUGGUAAAUAUAACAGCCUGAGACUUUUCUCAUAUGGAAAGACCUGAAGGAGAAAACAAGAAGGGCUCUCUUUCCUUUGAAUCUCCAUGCAAUCAUUUAAAGAAACCAAAAUGUUGUCAGCCUUGUCAAGGUGGAGAAGAGCUGCCAAACUUUAUCUUGUCUUCACUUCAGCAGUAUAUAAGAAAACUUUUUAAUGCAGGCUCACUUCCGCAAGUAAACUGGUGACUCAUUUAAAAUAAAUGAAUAAUCUCACUGAGUUGGGAAUAUUCCUAUGAACAACAAUCCCCAGGAGUUUCUUGGGAUUUGAAUCUGCUCCACAUGUGAAGCUCUUUAGGAAGAAAGUUUCUGUAGAAAUCACAAUUCUGAAUGCUUGUUUGUGUUCACACACCUACAUUCCUUCAAAGUUAAAGGUGUCCCUUCAGUUUGUAGCUCAGUGUAAAUGAUUUGUU